AGACACCUAAUAUUUAUAGGUCCAACAAAGACCUUUUGGAAAAGGUUUCAUUUCCUUUUAAUGAAGAUGCUCUUUGAACUCAUUUGAGAAAUUACUCAUUUGACAAUACUUGAACUUGUACUGCUGACAUUCUGUUGUCUAAGUAGUAUUUAAACAUGGAGCAGGACAAUGUUUCACCACUGCAGCACUUUGUGGUGGCAAAGAGGACAAUCAGUGCUGUGUUUCACCAGCUGUUGGAGUUUGUUAGAGAUUGUUCAGAUUUUGUAGAAGAGACGUGGAAGAGUGAGGAUCUUGAGCAUGUAGCACAGGAAAAACAGUGUCUGCAGAUCCAGGUCUGCUCCAGGAAACUAACCGCCAUCAAAGAUGUGCUAGCCCGCAGACAUAUGAAGGUGGCCUUCUUUGGCAGGACCAGUAAUGGAAAGAGUACAGUAAUUAAUGCCAUGCUAAGGGAACGGGUUCUGCCCAGUGGAAUCGGCCACACCACUAAUUGUUUCCUGAGUGUGGAGGGCACAGAUGGGGAACAUGCCUACCUUACCACUGAGGACUCUGAAGAGAGUAAAAGCAUUGAAACAGUCAAUCAGCUUGCCCACGCUCUACAUAUGGACAGGAACCAAGACUCAGGCUGUCUGGUCCGAGUGUUUUGGCCCAAAGCUAAGUGUGCCCUGCUGAGAGAUGAUCUGGUCCUGAUGGACAGCCCAGGUACAGAUGUCACAUCAGAGCUGGACAGCUGGAUUGAUAAGUUUUGUUUAGAUGCUGAUGUCUUUGUGCUUGUGGCCAACUCUGAGUCUACUAUAAUGAAUACUGAGAAACACUUUUUCCACAAAGUGAAUGAACGCAUAUCAAAGCCCAACAUUUUCAUCCUGAAUAAUCGGUGGGAUGCGUCUGUCUUAGAGCCAGAGUAUCUGGAAGAUGUGCGGAAACAGCACAUGGAUCGCUGUGUCAGUUUCUUAGUGGAGGAGCUAAAGGUAGUGGACCUAAACAAGGCACCUGAACGCAUCUUCUUUGUCUCUGCCAAGGAGGUGUUGAGUGCCAGGAUCCACCGUGCCCAGGAAAUGCCAGAGACUGGCGAUGCUUUGGCUGAAGGAUUCCAAGAGCGACUGAUGGAGUUCCAGAGUUUCGAAAGAACAUUCGAGGAAUUUAUAUCACAGUCUGCCGUGAAAACCAAGUUUGAGCAGCACACAAUUAGAGCCUGGCAGAUCACUGAGUCAGUCAAGGCUAUCAUGGAUGCCAUCAAUAUUUCUUCAGCAGAAAAGAAAGUGUUCUCACUAGAAGAGCGCGAGGCUCUAAUGGAUCGGCUGGAGUUUGUGCAAAAUCAGCUCAACUUCCUAACCGAGGACAUCAAAGACAAGAUAAAGGCCAUCACUGAGGAAAUGGCUGACAAGGUCUCCAAUGCCAUGGCAGAAGAGAUUUGUGGCCUGUCUGUUCUUGUGGAUGAAUUCUGCUCUGAUUUUAGCCCUGCCCCGAAUGCCUUAGCCCUGUACAAAUCUAAGCUCAUGGCCUAUGUGGAAGAGAGAAUGGUGAAGAAUUUGGACUUGCACUGUUCCAGCAGCAUAAAUGGCUAUGUGCUGUCAUCUCAGGGAGACAUCAUGGACACUCUACGUCCUCUGCUGCCCCCUGCUGCCCGAUGUCAACUACACCUCCCCAACAGGAAGUUCAGUAUUACUUAUGACCUGAACUUUGCCAGCCUCUGUGAAGAUUUUGUGGAGGACAUCAACUUUAAUUUCUCAUUGGGUCUUACAUUCUUGGUGAACCGUUUCCUAGGGCCUGGUAAAGCAAAACAAGCUUUGAGCCUGUUGGAACAAAAAUUGCAAGUCACCUCUUCCUCUGCUCCAUUGGGAACCCAGGCCCAGGAGGAGUUGGCUAUGUCCAUGGCAACAGGGUUGGUCUCUCUCACUUCCAGAGCAUCAGUUGGCAUGUUGGUCAUUGCUGGAGUGGUGUGGCGUUCUGUGGGAUGGAGGCUUAUUGUACUUUCUGUGAGUCUCUACAGUUUACUAUACCUGUAUGAAAGACUGACCUGGACAAACAGUGCUAAAGAGAGGGCACUGAAGCAACAGUUUGUGGACUUUGCCACUCAAAGACUGCAGGCCAUUUCACACAUUAUCAGCAGUGACUGUGGACAGCAGGGAGAUGGUGGCCGUCUUUGCCCGCAUGUGCCAACAGGUUGACAAGAGCGAGAUGGAGCUUGAAACAGAGAUCCGCAGACUCAGCGCCAGGAUUCAGCGCCUGGAGAGUGUCCAGAAACACUCCAAAACCCUCAGGCAUAAAGCCACUGAUCUGGAGUCACAACUGGAGUCUUUUUCAGCACAAUAUCUGCAGACUCAACAUUAACUAGAGCAGCAAGAAACUGGAAAUGAGUAAGACUGUCCUCCAGUGUUCAGUGCUGGAACAACCCAACAUCUGCUGAAGGAAACAUUACAUGGAAUGUGAAUGAUUUAUUUCAGUUCAAGAUGUCCAGAUUCCUCACUGACAACUAAUUGUAGCAAAGUAAUAAUGCAUAGACAAUCUCUUGAUGAAAAGAAUUUAUUGGUUACGACAACAAAUAGUAACAGGUUUUACUGCCACUGUACGAAUACAAACAAAUUCUGUAAAAAAACGAAAUAAAAAAAGAUUCCACAGCAAGAAAUCAUUGUUUUCUGAGCCAACAUAAAGCAAAUAAUACAAAUCUGUUGUCAAUAAAGCAUUUAAAGUGAAUUAAGAGGAAUGUAUGUUAGAAUCAAGAGGCAGUUAUGUCUGCUGGUUUUGUCCAUGACAUAUACACACACACCAGGGAGGGGCAACUAAUUACCGUAUAAGUGAAUUAAAAUCAAAAUCAUCUGAUUUUAAAUCAAAUAGUUACAGCAUAUGCAGGACCAUCCAAAUAUCUUGUCCAUUACAUCAGCAAGGAUCGUUUAUUUUGCACCCAUUAGGAAGUAGAUCUAUCGCUAUAUAAAAUACAUCAAAACCACUAUGAAUCAAGCACGCUUGCUUUUUGGUAAACCACAAUUUGUUUGAGGGUUGGUGACAGUUAAUAUGGUGUUGUUAAUAUGAUUAAAAGAUUGCACUUCAGUUAUUUGUGUCCUGUAUGUUUAUAAAUGAAAAAGUUUCUGUAGCAAGUGAAAGCAAAGCUAAACAACCCUUCAAUGUGAUACAUUGAAUCUAACUUAAUCUGUGAUCACGCUACAGCCAAUGCUGCUUUUACUUCUUUAUUCACUUUCAUUUUUAGAGUUGAAGGCAGGGUAUUUCUUUGUAGUAUUGUUAUCCAUUUUAGACAUGAACUGCUGCCAGUCUGCCUUGGGGUUUCAGUGCUGUAAUUUCAAUGCUUGUCAGCAUAACCACCUCUGUAAAAACAACCUUGGUUAAAUUCAAAUUCAGAAAAACUAAGCUGUCACUGCCUUUAGCAAGAAGGCCAGCACGUGGAAAGCAAAUGUUGUAAGGGAAUACUUAAAAAAAUACAAACAUUUAAGCCUCACAUCAUAAGUUAUGUGCCGAGUGCCUACUUUAAAUGAAAGAAAAAGUGAUUGCAAAGAUCUGGAUAAUAUAAGCUGCAUCAUUUAAUACGAUAGUUCUAACACAAUCAUUUUCACAUUUGGAAACUACCUGCAUGCCGAUUUAAUUGUCAAGUUCUAACUUAAUAAAGGUCAUGCAUGAUUUUUUAUACCGUUAAGGUUUUUGUAAACUUAAGCAAGCUGCCCCCCACCUCCCCCUCAGAGUCAAUGGAUUAUGGUAUUGCUAGCACAGUAUUUGAUCUUAUCCAUAGGAUAAGGCUCAGUAAGCUAGCUGUAAUAUCCAUAGGAUAUUAUGUUGCCUGCUCCCUACGAUCAUGUUCAUGUACUUUAUGGACUAACUGGCAAGUUCAGGUUGAACUUCAAAUCUAAUGAAUGUUCUGGAUUCAAUAUGAGCUAAGGUCAAUCGUAUUAGUCUUCACAAACACACAAAAAGCAACAAUCAUGGAUAAAUGAAGACACUUAGAACAAAACCAAUAAACACAAAAAAAUACCAUUCAAAAGUAUAGCAACUAAAGUUGCAGACUGUGUUAACAUGAAACUAAAGUCAUAGCAAUAUUAUGAUGUUGGUGAUGACAAUUUACAAAACCCAAAUAAUACAAAUAUAACUGCCAAAUUUACAUGUGCACACAUGCUGUUCACCAUUUAUUUUAAUUGCAGGUGCCUCAUUUUCCCAGAAUAAAAAGGCAUAAGUUAAUUUACUUGUAAGUGUACUGUACAUUGUUGAUUGUUUUGAACUUGUAUUGAGAAGGAACAUUUCAAGUCAAUUAAACGACUACAAAGGCUAUACCUUGAGGACAAUUGGAUGUCAUAUGAAUUAUGUUGGUUUUACUUAAUAAAUUCAGGUUAAAACCCUUUUUGCCUUCAUUGCACUAUGCAAAGUUCUUCGUGUACCUUAAUUAUCUAAAUAAUA